GAAAAGGAUGAGCUCAUUGCAAUCCUUGAUUCGUGACGAGCAGCGCUGUUGCUGCUGCUGCUGCCACCGCCGCCGCCGCCGCCGCCGCCUCUCGCUGUGAAUCAGUAAUGAAGGGGGGACUUGAACAAAAACGUGGAAAGGUGGAAGGAAACAUAUGUUUCUUUUUCUACACUAGCCUACUAAAUUGGGCUACCAGGUUAACUGAAGUGAUUCCUUCAGAAUGUCAUGAUUAACACCAAAUGCUGUAUUUCCAAAAAGGCUAAUAUUGAUCCACAGCCAUCAUAAAAACUGGCCACAGAAAAACGCAGAAACCACUGUAGACAUGUUAAGUAGCUGAGUCACUGUGGUUUUGGUU